CAAGUAUAUAAGCAGCGGCAGGCGAGAACCGUUGAUUUUAGACUUGUACGAUGCUUCAGAAUAAUGAAGUUUUACAUCUCGAAUGUUCUGGCUGUCAUGGUGGUUGUAGGCGUUAUUCUUUUGACUACAGAAAAUCAAGGCCCACAGACUGUGCUCGCUGUGCCUCUUCCAGGGUCUUCUGCAAGUAGGCCUCGUUCCAGACGUAGUGGUCCGCUGGAAGGUGUGCCACGAUAUCGUCCUCACUUUCAUAAAAACAAUGACACACGUCAUCAGCGGUCCCGCCGGGACAGUGGAUUUUCAACCAAUGUUACUCACGUAGGAGGGCCUAAACCUCGACCGAAACGGUCCCACGGACCGUCACUCGGAACGCCGACAGGACAAAGGAGUCCGGAGCGGCAAUCACGAAGCAAGGAGACAACGGUUUAAAUGCCCUCCAUAUUUUUGGAGUAUUCGCAACGAAAUUCUACGGACCAGAUUGAAACCAGGAAAUAAAAGAAAACUUCUUUCUAGGA
rnacentral:lncRNA from 1 species